CGUGUGGAAUAUGACGUGUAGAAUUUGAGUAAAAAACGAUAAAUCAUCGUACUUGGACACACGCGACUGUAACAUAAUAACGCGAACUUAUAUAAUUUAUAUUCGAAUAACCGAGUUGUGUCCGAUAUAAUAAUAUUAUAAGAACAAUGCCAUUUUCAACGUGGGCCACACGCCGCAGUACACUUUGUGUGCGCGUAGCGGACGUUUCAUUCGGUUCUUUUGAUGUUCGAUUCGUUCGAAUGUGUUUGAUGUUUUGACCGUACACCGUAAUAAUAUUUUUAAUAGUAUUUACUUU